CCCUUAGAUGUCCGGGGCUGCGCGCGCGCUACACUGUAGAAAGCAGCGUGCUUUAAAACCUUUCCUGAAAAGGAUGGGUAACCCCAGCAAAAUUCUACGUGCUUGGGAUAGAGAUUUGCAAUUUUCUCUCUUGAACGAGGAAUUCCCAGUAAGUGCGAGUCAUCAGCUCGCGUUGAUUACGUCCCUGCCCUUUGUACACACCGCCCGUCGCUACUACCGAUUGGGAAAAUUUUAGAGAGUCCUGGACUGAUGAUUGUUCGGCUUCACGGCCUUACUUUCGUCGGGAAAGAAUUCGAUAAUAUUUUUCUAGAGGAAGUAAAAGUCGUAACA
rnacentral:rRNA from 1 species